rnacentral:lncRNA from 1 species
CAUGCUAUCCACUAUUAAAAGCUAAAUGCAGUCAAACCAGUGUCAGCUAUUUGAGCCUCAUGAACCCCUGGUUAUACUUGUUGAGUACGAUAUGUGCUCACUCUUGCUAUUUCCCACCACUCCAGUUUACUAGUAAGAGUUGAUGAGAAGAGCGAUGGAGUCAUAAAGGAUGUUCUCAGGAUACAAGAAGUGCUAGGCAUAUGUUACCCCAGUCAAUCGUCCCUGUGAAGAUUGAGCCUAAAGAUUACUUAUCAUUCCGCGGUAC